ACGAACGCUGGCGGCAUGCCUAACACAUGCAAGUCGAACGAGACCUUCGGGUCUAGUGGCGCACGGGUGCGUAACGCGUGGGAAGCUGCCCUUAGGUUCGGAAUAACUCCCCGAAAGGGGUGCUAAUACCGGAUAAUGUCUUCGGACCAAAGAUUUAUCGCCUUUGGAUGGGCCCGCGUUGGAUUAGCUAGUUGGUAGGGUAAAAGCCUACCAAGGCGACGAUCCAUAGCUGGUCUGAGAGGAUGAUCAGCCACACUGGGACUGAGACACGGCCCAGACUCCUACGGGAGGCAGCAGUGGGGAAUAUUGGACAAUGGGCGAAAGCCUGAUCCAGCAAUGCCGCGUGAGUGAUGAAGGCCUUAGGGUUGUAAAGCUCUUUUACCCGGGAUGAUAAUGACAGUACCGGGAGAAUAAGCUCCGGCUAACUCCGUG
rnacentral:rRNA from 1 species